rnacentral:rRNA from 1 species
AUUGAACGCUGGCGGCAGGCCUAACACAUGCAAGUCGAACGAGUGGCGGACGGGUGAGUAAUGUCUGGGAAACUGCCUGAUGGAGGGGGAUAAAUAAUGGAAACGGUAGCUAAUACCGCAUAACAUCAGAUGUGCCCAGAAGAGAUUAGCUAGUUGGUGGGGUAACGGUUCACCAAGGCGACGAUCCCUAGCUCGUCUGAGAGGAUGACCAGCCACACUGGAACUGUGACACGGUCCAGAAGCCUCCGUGAGGCAGCAGUGUGGAAUAUUGCACGAUGGGCGAAAUCCUGAUGCAGCCGUGCCGCGUGUAUGAAGAAGGCCGUCGGGUUGUAAAGUACUUUCAGCUGGGAGGCGUUACCCGCAGAAUAAGCACCGGCUAACUCCGUGCCAGCAGCCGCGGUAAUUC